AUAAAAUAAUUAUGUUUUUGGAAAUUUAUUAUAAAUUUAUUUUACAUAUAAAUUUUAGUAUAUAAUUUUAAUUAUUUAAAUAAUAAUUAAUUUAUUUUUGUAGUAAUUAAUAUUAAAAAAUUUAAGAAAUUAAGAUUUAGUAAUAUAAAAAUUAAUAACUAAUUUUGUGCCAGCAGUUGCGGUUAAACAAAAGUUAAAUUAAAUUAUUUCAGUAUAUAAUAAGUAAUUAAUUUAUUAAAAUAAAUAUUAAAUUAUUAAGUGAAAUUUUAAUUUAGUUAAAUUUUAUUUUAAAAUUAUGAUUUAAUAAAUUUUAAUAUAAACUAGGAUUAGAUACCCUAUUAUUAAAAAUUUAAUUUAUAAUACUAAAAUAGUAAAUAAUAAUUUAUUGAAACUUAAAUAAUAUGGCGGUAUUUUAGUUCAUUUAGAGGAAUCUGUCUAAUAAUUGAUAAUCCACGAAUAAAUUUACUUAAUUUAUAAUUUUGUAUAUCAUUGUUAAAAAAAUAUUUUUUAGGAAAAAUAAUAUUUAAAAAUUAUAAUAAAAAAUUAAAUCAGAUCAAGAUGCAGAAUAUAAUUAAGAAUAUGAUGGAUUACAUUAAAUAUAUUUAUAUGAAUAAUUUUAUUGUAAUAAAAAUUUGAAGGUGGAUUUAAAUGUAAUUUUAAUUAGUUUAUUAAAAUGAUUAAAAAUUAAAAUAUGUACAUAUUGCCCGUCACUUUCAUUUAAAAAUUGAAAUAAGUCGUAACAAAGUAGAGGUACUGGAAAGUGUUUCUAGAAAGA
rnacentral:ncRNA from 1 species